GGACGAACGCUGGCGGCGUGCCUAAUACAUGCAAGUCGAGCGCAKGAARUUAUCAUGAUYCUCUUCGGAGGUGACGAUAAUGGAAUGAGCGGCGGACGGGUGAGUAACACGUAGGCAACCUGCCUGUAAGACUGGGAUAACUCGUGGAAACGCGAGCUAAUACCGGAUAACACUUUUCAUCUCCUGAUGAGAAGUUGAAAGGCGGCUUUUGCUGUCACUUACAGAUGGGCCUGCGGCGCAUUAGCUAGUUGGUAAGGUAACGGCUUACCAAGGCGACGAUGCGUAGCCGACCUGAGAGGGUGAUCGGCCACACUGGGACUGAGACACGGCCCAGACUCCUACGGGAGGCAGCAGUAGGGAAUCUUCCGCAAUGGACGAAAGUCUGACGGAGCAACGCCGCGUGAGUGAUGAAGGUUUUCGGAUCGUAAAACUCUGUUGUUAGGGAAGAACAAGUACUAUAGUAACUGAUAGUACCUUGACGGUACCUAACCAGAAAGCCACGGCUAACUACGU
rnacentral:rRNA from 1 species